GACAGUUAACUGAAAAGAUUAGAUAGGGCUGGGAUGAGCCAGAGAAAGGGUCUCCAGAGAGGGACUAAGGGUUGGAGUGGGAGGUUAGGUGGAUAGAUUCUUACACACUAGGGAAAACCUCUGUCAAUCAAGUGUGACUAAGACAUUUAUGCUUCUCCUCUCCAGAUGGCCACAGCCCUGGAUAUCAGGGGAUUACAUUGCUGGAUUCUCGGGUAGUUACAACCUGACUUCAGGCUUUGGAGCUUUUAUAAAGAAGGGCAGGAGGAAGUGUGCAGACAGAACACAAAGAAGUAUGGUAGCGUUUGUAGAAAUAUUUAAUCACUUGCUGGAACAGAUGAAGAUGCCAAAAGGAAACAUAAAAUGAUUCAGCUUUAACAGACCUAGGAUUACACAGAUGCAUGUGUGUGCCUUCAUUGCCUGCCUUCAUCUAAAAUGGGAAACAGCUAGCAAAAACCAUGCCUCCAUGGAAGCAGAAUACAAAGCUGAACAGCAUUUGCCCCUGAUGCAGUGGUAAUUCUGUCACAGCUCAUAGACACAAAGAACAAACAGGGCUUGCAUCAACAAUGAAUUUUUGCUAAAGAACCUUGGAAAAACAGGAACAUUUUUUCUGAGCAAAGUUGGGUCCCCUGCCUGUCUGAGGAUACAAAAUGGAGGAGGUUAUGACACUCCUGAAAUGGCAGAUUAUUCAGAUGAUGGUCAUAAUUUCUGCAACAGUAAUUAGAAUUGUGGCGCAGAGACCAGGUCCAUGUAACACUUGUUCAGGUUGUGAAUCAAUUAAAACAUUGUCUUUAAGGUGCCAAGCCAA